GCAUCAGGUAUCCGCAUCUGAAAUUAGCAUUAAAAGCGGGUAAUGAAUACACCUUGUUUACAUAUCUGCCACUACACAUGUAGAAACAAUGAAAGCAUUUUGUUUUAAGUCCUUUUUAUUAAUAAAUGAAAGUUUUCUAUUUACACAUCCCGUCAGCCACAUGGCCAUCUUCUUUCUGAGAGUGCAUUUAGUUGCAGCAUGUCAGCAACACAAGCAAACUCUGCACUGAUUUUGAAACCAAUUGUCUCAUCAGCAGCUUGUACUGCCAGACAAACCAUGAGACCAAUAUCAACUGAAUUCUCACUGCCCCCCCCCACCCAAUAUAAAUUUGAUGGUGGUGUGUAUAUGCAAUUCGCCAACUCAGAAAAAGACAUUGAAUGGCUGAAUCUCUCUUCUACUCGUUGCUCUUCAUUUGCCAUACAAAAUUAUUAGCAGCAGCCCAGUGCGGGAAGAGGCCGUCAUCCAGCAGCGGAGCGAUGAAACGACUGUGCUUCAUUGUCCCCUAUUAAGAUGUUCUUCCAUAUUAUGUACACUGUUGAGAUCCAUUAUUUCGGCAGACAAGAGAAUGUUUGAGUGCUUUUGGAAAUCUGGAUUCCUCUGACCAUUGCCAUUUAUAUUUACCAACCAUCUAGCUUGAGAUGCAGUUACAUUAUAUAUUGUUUACAAAUUCACAUUGUCUUGUAACUAAGUAGGGGUACUAAGCAGUGGCCAGUAAACUAAAACCCGUUUUCAGAACUGAUUUACCGGUGACAGAAGUAAGGAACCAAUAAUCGUUUCCAGUGUAAAUGUAGUAAUGAAUGCACUGGUUGGCACACAGCACGUGAACAAAUGGCACGGCGGCCUAAGUCACAACACGGUACAUUUGCCCUCGUUUCUCAGUUUAAAGGUUAAUGGUGCAGCUCUGCAAUUUCUCGCUCACACAACUGCUGGCAGAAGUGCCUCCCACUCAAGGGAGUUCUACUUGGGCUACUCUUCAACGCAGACCAGACGUCUUAAUUGUAAGAGGUGGGCAUAACCACACUUUAUCCCAUCACACACCGUGGUGCAUCAAUUUAUAGAGGCGGGCAUGGGAUGUAAUAAACUUUCCCCAUUGUUUUAACUGCCGCGCCGGGAAAUAUAAUCGGAUUGCAAGUGCGGAGGUCACGGUAGCUCACCUCGUUUCUCAGUUGAAAAACUAAAAAAAUUGUGUUAAUUUCUACAUGUGUGGAAAACCGUUUUGUUACCGGGUUUGCAUGCGAUUACCAGUAUAUUAAUGCAAAAAAUAUAUAAUUUGAACAACUCUAAUUAUAAGUUAGAUCUGCCGCUAACCCUUGGUACUGAACAGCCAAAGUGGUUAAUUUCCCAAGUUGAAACCCUAUCACACUUGAUUGCAUUUCAUUUUAAUUUCCAGGAAGGGCCUUGAUACUUGAUACUGGAACAUUCUCCCAAACCCUUCUGGGAUGUCCGAUUUCACUUGUGUGUAAACUGCACGGCAGCAUUGACCCAAUAUGUAGUGGGCAUAAUAUGUUACAGUAAAGUAUUGUAUGAUAUAAUACCAUGUACAUACGUUAAAACAAACAUAAGUUACAUUUCUGCACGACAAGAGUUUUCAGGUUUACUUAUCGACUUUCUUAGAACUUUAUGCCACAUGUCUUUUUUUCAUGAUAAAAUUGCAUUGUAUUCUUAUCAAUAUUAAAAUGAAACGAUUUGUAUUAAUGAGGUUGUCACUUUUAUUUGUGUUUAGGAAUUUAGAGAAGAUAUAUUUCAACCUCAUGUUUUCAUAGUCUUAAUAUCUUAAAAACACACUGCAGUAUGUCAACAACAUUAGAAUGUAUAAUAAAACACAAAUAGAGAGCAUACGUUUCUUAAACAUGCAAGCCAAACAAUGACUUGCGAAAAGUUUCAGUUGGUGCUUGGUAAAAAACAAGUACACAGAUAUGGGAUGACAGGGAUCCUCACUAGGCACAUGGUACAUCAGGAGUGUUGUGUGUUGAUGUGAAAAAGAAGAUAAUACAAUGUUAUUUUCGAGAAAGAGUUGCUGCAGUUAUUUAUAAACACUGCACAGGCCAUGUGCCCAGUGACUCAUCCCAGGGCCAGCCAAUAAAAGGCUAUGAGGCCCCUCUCUUACAGACUUCCUCCAAUAGAGAGUCUGCUAAGCCAGUGGCGUUUGCAUUAUUUCACCGGACUGACAAGAGUGCUGGAGUAAGAGAGAGAGAGAGCUGUACACUCACUAAACCAUACCGGCGUUUGUGGAACAGGAGGACAAUCUGCCCAAAGCAGGCCUGACACACACCAUGCACGCCAGCAACAGCUGUGGCCAGCUGCCAAGCUGAGCUUGCCUGAGCUCUGUGGGGGCCUGAAUGACUCGUGGCUGACCCUGACUCGCUUCCGCAGACAGCAUCCAGCUAAGUUCUGUGCAUGCUGUGCGGGGCUGGCGAUUGUGGGUCAUGCUGUUCCUGGAACUCUGAUCUCACUCUCUGUCUUGGUAGGUACACUGAUCUGGCAGUUUGUCAGCCACAACGAGGCCAUUCGAAAGGCUUGCACAGUCCUCCUUGCGCAAGUUCCCCAUGGAAGCAGACAAAGCAUCGCUCAGUGGCCCAGUGGCACACUCACGGCAACCGAAGAUGGUGCAGUCAAAGAAACCACCCACUCACAGGAAGGUGCUACAUUUGAAGAUUCAACGUCCACUAAGGAAUCCAGCUCAGAGGUUAAACAAGAGCAGCAGCCGAAUUCAGAAGAUCCAUUCAAAGAAGCCAAUCAAAUAAUCUGCACGGAAAUAAGAAAACCAGAUACUUUUGUUGGAGAGGAACAACAUAAAAAAGCGGCAAUAGAAUUAGUUUUUAAAAAUACUUUGAAAGCCAGUCAAGAAAAACUACCUCAUGAUCCCUGUAAGCUGAAACCCCACAAACAUGCUACAGAAAAGGAUACCAAGAGAGAGGCAGUAUGCAGUUUGAAUAGGGACAGAGUUGGUUCUGUGCCAAGUUUUGAAUAUAGCAUUUACACCAAUGUCUGUUAUACUGACCAAGAUAACUACACAACGUCAGACUUGGCUACCAUGUCGCUUGUUUCUCCACUGAGUCUUACUGGUGAGCAGUCGGGAAAUGUUUUUAAUCCUGCAGAAGCUCCACUUACUAAUAUGGAUGAGGCUAAUGGCCAAAUGAUAAACAAUUCCCAACUUUCAGGCUCUUCACCGAAUAUAAAGAGCGAUGUGAGCAAAUAUGGACCCAUUAUCUCCGAAGGAUGCAUCAUCCACUAUGCUGAGAUAACUGAAUUAAUCCCCAACAUUCCUUUGCCAUCUAAUUACACAGGUUCCACUAUGGAGGGAGUGUCAGAAAUGCAGCAUUACGUCGAUGGGUCAGAGAUAGGGGCUGCAGCCAAGGAAAAUGACAGCUACUGUGUCACAAGCACAGAGGCAUUCAGCAGACAUGAACACUCACACCUUAGCGUUGAAGAUUCUCUGCUGCUGUCCACUGCACCUGACCUCUCUGAACUUCUGUCCUCCGCCCUGGAGGAGGCUCCACCAUCAUGUAGUCCUGCUGCAGACCCGGAGCAGCUACCCAGCUCUGCUGAGGAGUCUACAGAUACCCACAGCAUCCCCCAGCAGAUCACCCUCUCCGAGUCAAAGGUGGACAAAGCGUCAACGCAGACCUGUGAGACAGAUGAGGAGGACAACGCUGAAGGUUUUGAAGUUCUGCAACAGGAGGAGCUACAGCAAAUGGAGGUGGAAAUGGCCAUACUGAACCAAAGUCAAUCUAACACGGUCUCUCCAGGAAAUGCAUCCACGGGAUUCUUGUCUCACCUGCUCAGAUAAAACAACACUACACAGUGAACGUGUUCUUUUUUAUGUACUUUCUUAUUGACUUGUAUUCAUUUGUGUUACAUGAAGAUAUUUCUUUUUUGAGCAUCUUGCUGUGAUUUAUUUUCAUUAUAAAAUUACAUUUUCUGAAA